UACGGCUGGCAGAUAAAGCGCGGCCUCGGCGAGCGCAGGGGUGAUGCUAUCGCCGGAGUAUUUAUGACACCGCAACAACACUUUCUUCUUGUUUAAUGCACCGGAGAACAUUUCUAUUACUUCCAGGCUUUUGAAUUUCAUGUACCACAUGAGGCGACGUGUAUUAUCUCGACGUGCGGGCUUCAAUUAAGUCCGAUCAGGUACAUUAGGUUUAUGAAUAUGUUCAUCAGAUCGGGAUGCAGUUGCUUUAAAAUCACAUCGGACGCUUCUGGAGGCAGAGGUGCUUCAUCACAGACGGUGCCAGGAGAGACAUCUAUGUCUUAAAACAUCCAGGAAAUUCACAAAGGUACUUUGUUUGCUGCAUUGUGUAGCGAGUUUGCACAGGAGUCCUACUGUUCGGAUUAGAACGCAACUGACAGCGGGGCACAACGCCUGUUGAUUUAUUAUUUAGAAAUCCGGAGGGAAAAAACUCUGUUCCAUCUCAAUACCACAGCUACCCCUAUACACACACUCAAACACACACACACACACACACACACACACACACACACACACACACACACACACACACACACACACACACACACACACACA